CUCCUCCCUCAUCCCCGGCCACCCAUGCCGCCUAUGCGCGCCCCUCCCACACACUCCCGACCUCCUCCCGGCGCACAUGCCACCACCCUGCUCCUCCCUCCUCCAGGAGGGCGCGCCGCCGCCCAUGUUCUCCCUUCCCCCUGCUGGCAUGCGCGCCACCGCCCCUCUGUCCAUCACCGGCAUCCCGCUCGAGCCCGUGGACCCGAGGAAGAUGGAGUCGAGGGAUGAUGGGAAGGAGCAGUGGCUGCCUCGUGGUGACCUUGAUGCUGCUACUGGUAUGUGUUGUGCAAUCUUCAGAGAUGAAAAAAAGAUAGUACAAAGAGGAGAGAGGAUUGCAGUUCAGACAGAUUGACUGGUAAGGUUCAAAGAUGUUGAUGAAUGGAAUACACGACCGAAUGGAAUCUAUAAUUUGCAGCUACAGCAUCCUAUAGUCCGGGAACCUAUAAUGUGCUCUAAAUCCAUGUUUAUACUUUCCAAGUUUCACUUGCAUGUUUCCCUUGUAUUGAUUUUGUGGCUGGUAAGUGCCUGUCUCUUAUGGAGUAUAGGUUGCAGUGGAGUAAGUGAAAAGUGUACAUGAUUGUAGGUUGAAACUUGCUAAUUAUGAUUGAGCAGAUGGAGCCUGAUGCCCGCGACUAUACCUCCUAAGUCAGAGGCGGCGUACCAUGUGUCGACCGCCCUGAACCCUGGUCCUCAUGAUCACGUCAACCAACAGGGUCAACGACAAGGAUGCUUCUGAUGUAGUAGGUCUGGAUGCGACACCUUUCCUGAAUUUGCUUAUGUAUGAUGCAUUUCAUAGUGUUUCUUCUAUCACGGUAACAAGAAUCUCUACCCACUUUAUUGGUGUAUGGUCAAUGUAUUGGUGAGAAAUUGAGGUUGAAUACCAAUAUACGCACAUACAACAGCAACAGUUGAUGACAACAAUAGCCUUGUAGCUUCAGGAGUGGAGCAUGGAGGAGGGCUCUGUAUUGUGGCGGGGAAGGAGCGGAGGAACUGUGCAUCCGGGAAUGGCGCGACCGCCGAUCCUAUUUGUUGCUCUCUUGUCUGAAAGGUGCCACAACGGCCUUGUAGCUUUAGGAGUGGAGCAUGGAGCUGGGCUCUGAGUCAUGGUGGGGCAUGUCGGAGGGCUCUGGGUUAUGGCGGGGAAGGAGCGGAGGAACUGUGCACCCGGGGAUGGCGUGACCGCUGAUCCUAUCCGUCGCACUGGUGUCUGACAGGUCAAAUGAUCACCAAGGCAUGUGACAACAUCUUCAGGCCCAACUCUCACUCUGCUGUCGCCCAUUCAACACACUCUUCGAUGCUAGGGGUGGAUGGUUCUUUGAUGCUGGCACAACUGGAGACAGCAAGAAGCAGAGGGAGGGAGGCUAUCAUGUUGAAGAAGACGCCGGCACCCUGAAAGCGGAAAUGCGGUUUCUCGGAGCUAGCAGGAUGUGACGCCCCUGAUUCAAUCGUACACUAAUCAUACACACAAAUGUGUACGAUCAAGAUCAGGGACUCACAGGAAGAUAUCACAAAACAACUCUAGACACAAAUUAAAAAUAACACAAGCUUUAUAUUACGAGCCAGGGGCCUCGACGGCUCAAAUACGUAAGCUUGAAUACAAACGAGUCAGCGGAAGCAAUAAUAUCUGAGU